rnacentral:rRNA from 1 species
AACCAGAAGGCGCAAUGAAAGUGAAGGCACGGUCGCCGUGCUGAGGUGAGAGCCGGCCCCGACGGGACGGCACAUCAUCGACCGAUCCCAUCCGCACUGCUCGCAGUGUGGCGGGAUUCGAGUGAGAGUGUACCUGUUGCGACCCGAAAGAUGGUGAACUAUGCCUGAAUAGGGUGAAGCCAGAGGAAACUCUGGUGGAGGCCCGUAGCGAUUCUGACGUGCAAAUCGAUCGUCAAAUUUGGGUAUAGGGGCGAAAGACUAAUCGAACCAUCUAGUAGCUGGUUCCCUCCGAAGUUUCCCUCAGGAUAGCUGUAGCCCGAUAGCAGUUUUAUCAGGUAAAGCGAAUGAUUAGAGGUAUCGGGGAAGAAACUUUCUCGACCUAUUCUCAAACUUUAAAUAGGUAAGAAGUCCGACUUGCUCAAUCUGAAGCCGGACACAGAAUGCUGGGUUACUAGUGGGCCAUUUUUGGUAAGCAGAACUGGCGAUGCGGGAUGAACCGAACGCAGAGUUAAGGUGCCAAAGUCGACGCUCAUCAGAUCCCACAAA